CCUGGGAGGACCACCAGUUGCGAAGGCGCCACACUGGAACGGAUCCGACGGUCAGGGACGAAGCCUAGGGGCACGAACCGGAUUAGAUACCCGGGUAGUCCUAGGAGUAAACGCUGUGAACUUGGUGUCGGGGAUCCUACUUGGGUUCCCGGUGCCGGAGUGAAGAUGUUAAGUUCACUGCCUGGGGAGUACGGUCGCAAGGCUGAAACUUAAAGGAAUUGGCGGGGGAGCACUGCAACGGGAGGAGCGUGCGGUUUAAUUGGAUUCAACGCCGGAAAACUCACCAAGGCCGACUGUUAGAUGAAGACCAGCGUAAUGAGCUUGUCGGAUUUUCAGAGAGGUGGUGCAUGGCCGUCGUCAGUUCGUACUGCAAAGCGUUCUGUUAAGUCAGAUAACGAACGAGACCCGCAUCCCUAUUUGCCACCCUGUUCUCCGGAGCAGGCGCACCAUAGGGAGACCGCUGGUGUGAAACCAGAGGAAGGCGCGGGCAACGACAGGUCAGUAUGCCCCGAAUGUCUUGGGCUACACGCGCGCUACAAAGGACGGGACAAUGGGAAGCCAGACCGAGAGGUCGAGCUAACCCGAAACCCGUUCAUAGUUCGGAUCGAGGGCUGUAACUCGCCCUCGUGAAGCUGGAUUCCGUAGUAAUCGUGUUUCAACAUAGCACGGUGAAUAUGCCCCUGCUCCUUGCACACACCGCCCGUCAAACCAUCUUAGUUGGGGGUGGGU
rnacentral:rRNA from 1 species